GUGGGGAAUUUUGGACAAUGGGCGCAAGCCUGAUCCAGCAAUGCCGCGUGCAGGAAGAAGGCCUUCGGGUUGUAAACUGCUUUUGUACGGAACGAAACGGUCCGGGUUAAUACCCUGGGCUAAUGACGGUACCGUAAGAAUAAGCACCGGCUAACUACGUGCCAGCAGCCGCGGUAAUACGUAGGGUGCAAGCGUUAAUCGGAAUUACUGGGCGUAAAGCGUGCGCAGGCGGUUUUGUAAGACAGGCGUGAAAUCCCCGGGCUCAACCUGGGAAUUGCGCUUGGGACUGCAAGGCUGGAGUGCGGCAGAGGGGGAUGGAAUUCCGCGUGUAGCAGUGAAAUGCGUAGAUAUGCGGAGGAACACCGAUGGCGAAGGCAGGUGGCUGUACCUUAAUCGACGCUGAUGCACGAAAGCAUGGGGAGCAAACAGGAUUAGAUACCCGUGUAGUCC
rnacentral:rRNA from 1 species